CAUGUAGGCGGUUUGUUAAGCCGGACGUGAAAGCUCCUGGCUCAACCAGGAGAGGCCGUUCGAAACUAACAAACUUGAGGGUGGUAGAGGAGAGUGGAAUUCCCGGUGUAGUGGUGAAAUGCGUAGAUAUCGGGAGGAACACCAGUGGCGAAAGCGGCUCUCUGGGCCAUUCCUGACGCUGAGAUGCGAAAGCCAGGGGAGGCAAACG
rnacentral:rRNA from 1 species